UACGGAGGGUGCAAGCGUUAUCCGGAUUCACUGGGGUUAAAGGGUGCGUAGGUGGGUUGGUAAGUCAGUGGUGAAAUCUCCGUGCUUAACAUGGAAACUGCCAUUGAUACUACUGAUCUUGAAUUUUCUGGAGGUAAGCGGAAUAUGUCAUGUAGCGGUGAAAUGCUUAGAUAUGACAUAGAACACCAAUUGCGAAGGCAGCUGGCUACACAAAUAUUGACACUGAGGCACGAAAGCGUGGGGAUCAAACAGG
rnacentral:rRNA from 1 species